rnacentral:lncRNA from 1 species
GAGUGAGUCGAGCACCUCCCUUAGAGUUAGAGUGUGCUGAAGCCACACAGUGUAGAAGUUCUCAGACCAAGCUUCAAAUCCAGGGACGACCUUUUCCAGAUCUACAGGGAUUUUCAUUUCUGUAAUACUUGUGCCGGUCCUCCAAUAGCCUACCCUUCUGUCUCCCCGCACAGCCCCAGGGAGGAACCACCACUGCACCUAUCACUGCUCAGCCGCUUGCUCCUCCCCUAUGUGAACAGUUGACCCCGUGCUCAGCAAGUCCUUGACUUUUCAGCCUGAGCUUUCCUCACUCAGUAGACUGUUUGCCUUCCUCCUGGAAUCAAGAUAACUGUGCUGUGAAAAGUGCUGGAGUCCAUCUCUGGUGGGGUUCUGGAACCUGAAGACAGAUGUGUGGUCUCCGCAAAAGUGAGGACUCUGACUACCUGUUAGACCUUUCAACCAAGUGGCACUGAAUAGCUCGAGUCAUCUUUCUUUAAACAAUCUUUCUUUAAACAAUCACAAGCCUGCUCCCAGGAGCAGUGAUAUCAUUGGUUAUUCUACUUAAUGAAAUCAUAACAUCAGCAUUAUAAAAGCCCCAUCACUGUAAAAGCCCCCAAUAGUUUUCCUUCCUCCUUCCCAUCUCCUGCUAUCGAUUGAGGAAUGUAAGCUCCAGGGAUGUGGCAGACAGCAUCUGGUGUGCUCCAACUCAGAGAAGCCUUCGUGCAGCAAAAAAGAUGUUACAGAUAUUUCCCUUAGCAAACAAGGAUCAGAAACUCUAUACACAAUGCAGGAUUUUCACAUGCCUCUUUCUGCUCAUUUAUGAUACAAACUGUUAAAUGGUUGUUGCUUCCCUCGAUGAGUUAUUCUGAUUAAAGAUUAUCUGGAAAUGAUCUACCA